GAUGAACGCUAGCGGGAGGCCUAACACAUGCAAGCCGAGCGGGAUUUGAGACUAGCUUGCUAGUCUUAAUGAGAGCGGCGUACGGGUGCGGAACACGUGUGCAACCUGCCUUUAUCUGGGAGAUAGCCUUUCGAAAGGAAGAUUAAUAUCCCAUAAUAUAAUGAUUGGCAUCAAUUAUUAUUGAAAGCUCCGGCGGAUAGAGAUGGGCACGCGCAAGAUUAGAUAGUUGGUGAGGUAACGGCUCACCAAGUCGAUGAUCUUUAGGGGGCCUGAGAGGGUGAUCCCCCAAACUGGUACUGAGACACGGACCAGACUCCGACGGGAGGCAGCAGUGAGGAAUAUUGGACAAUGGGUGAAAGCCUGAUCCAGCCAUCCCGCGUGAAGGAUUAAGGACCUAUGGUUUGUAAACUUCUUUUCUACAGGGAUAAACCUACUCUCGUGAGAGUAGCUGAAGGUACUGUAGGAAUAAGCACCGGCUAACUCCGUGCCAGCAGCCGCAGUAAGAC
rnacentral:rRNA from 1 species